rnacentral:rRNA from 1 species
GAAAGAGUUCCUGAAACCGGUCGCAUGCAAGCCGUCAGAGCCUGUGUGGUGAUGGCGUGCCUUUUGAAGAAUGAGCCUGCGAGUUAGUGAUGCGUGGCGAGGUUAACCCGUGGUGGGGGAGUCGUAGCGAAAGCGAGUCCGAUAAGGGCGUGAGUCGCGUGUUCUAGACCCGAAGCGGUGUGAUCUAUCCAUGGCCAGGAUGAAGCGUCGGUAAGACGUCGUGGAGGUCCGAACCCACUUCAGUUGAAAAUGGAGGGGAUGAGUUGUGGAUAGGGGUGAAAGGCCAAUCAAACACCGUGAUAGCUGGUUCUCCCCGAAAUGCAUUUAGGUGCAGCGUUGCGUGGUUCUUGUUGGAGGUAGAGCACUGGAUGGUCUAGGGGGCUUAUCGGCUUACCGAAAUCAGCCAAACUCCGAAUGCUGGCAAGUGUAGCGUGGCAGUGAGACGGCGGGGGAUAAGCUUCGUCGUCGAGAGGGAAACAGCCCAGAUCAUCAGCUAAGGCCCCUAAGUGGUGACUCAGUGGGAAAGGAUGUGGAGUUGCGUAGACAACCAGGAGGUUGGCUUGGAAGCAGCCAUCCUUGAAAGAGUGCGUAAUAGCUCACUGGUCAAGUGAUUCCGCGCCGAUAAUGUAGCGGGGCUUAAGUUAUCCGCCGAAGCUGUGGCAACCUGUGUGGUUGGGUAGGGGAGCGUCGUGUCAGUGGUGAAGCUGCCGGGUGACUGUGUGGUGGAGUUGAUG